AGUCGAACGAUAAGCCCGGGCUUGCCCGGGNGGACAGUGGCGAACGGGUGAGUAACACGUGAGGAACCUGCCCCGAAGACCGGGACAACACCGGGAAACCGGUGCUAAUACCGGAUACCUUCACCGGAUCGCAUGGUCUGGUGAAGAAAUGGAUUCCGCUUCGGGAUGGCCUCGCGGCCUAUCAGCUAGUUGGUGAGGUAACGGCUCACCAAGGCGACGACGGGUAGCUGGUCUGAGAGGAUGUCCAGCCACACUGGGACUGAGACACGGCCCAGACUCCUACGGGAGGCAGCAGUUAGGAAUCUUGCGCAAUGGACGAAAGUCUGACGCAGCGACGCCGCGUGCGGGAUGAAGGCCUUCGGGUUGUAAACCGCUUUCAGCAGGGACGAAAUUGACGGUACCUGCAGAAGAAGCCCCGGCCAACUACGUGCCANNNGCCGCG
rnacentral:rRNA from 1 species